rnacentral:misc_RNA from 1 species
AUCUGUGGGAAAACUAUAAUGUAGGUGUGCAGUUGAAAAAUGAUACGUGGAUGCCUGCUCUGCUUGUGUUUUGGUGAUAAUUUAUGGGCAUUGUCUUAAAAGUUUGAAGUUGUGAAAGUGUUGGAGCCAUGGUGCUUACAGUUUUGUCUCUCUGUAGGUUGUGGUGUAGGAUUAUUUUUGUGGUUAUUAUUGCUGAUCAGGUGCUUAGCAUGCUGGGCAAGGUUGUACAUGCAUUUUUUUUUCCUAUAUAGGAAUGAUAGAGCAGUACAUUCUUUUAUUCUUAAUAACAAAAAUAGAAGCUGCAA